UACGUAGGGUGCGAGCGUUAAUCGGAAUUACUGGGCGUAAAGCGUGCGCAGGCGGUUCGUUAAGUCAGCUGUGAAAGCCCCGGGCUCAACCUGGGAAUUGCGGUUGAAACUGGCGAACUAGAAUCUGGCAGAGGGGGGUGGAAUUCCACGUGUAGCAGUGAAAUGCGUAGAGAUGUGGAGGAACACCGAUGGCGAAGGCAAUCCCCUGGACCUGUACUGACGCUCAUGCACGAAAGCGUGGGGAGCAAACAGG
rnacentral:rRNA from 1 species